AGUGCGUAAAAAUCGGAGUUCAUAUGUGAAAGUUAUAAGUGAAAAUGUGAAUUUACUGUUCAUGGUAACUCUCUAUAUAUAAGGAAACUUACCGAGGUAAGUUCCCAUUUCAGAACUUACCCUGACCCUCUCUCUCUCUCCUCUUCCUCUUCCCCGCGUCGCCCUCCCUUUUUCUUUUUCCGAUUUCUUCACCGUCCGGCGUCCGAUUGAUGUGAUUCCAGUUGUCCUUGGACCGUCUCUUCCUCCUCUAUACGAUGGUAUCAGUGGGUAUCAGUGAUUUGGCCGGAAAACCCCGAAUUUAUGCAAUCAUAGUUACUGUAGCAAUUUGCUUCUCCGGUGAAAUUCUCCAGUUUUCGGCUAUCUCCGGCGGGAAAAUUGAUUCUAUUAGGAGCGCCUCGAGUCACUGAUCAUCUUCCCUCAACACUUCUAGCUGAAAUUUCCACGUUUGGAAGGUGAAUUUGAAGGAUUUCCAAAUUUGUGGGUUUGGAGAUUUUCGGGUUUGUGUUCAUCGGCAAAAUUGGAGCACUUCAAGGAUGUCGUACCGAGCCCUGGCUCGAUGAAGGAACUCGUAUACGUGAUCGUCGGAAUAGUACUUGUGCAGGAGAAAUUAGUUGAGGUCGGGCGUACAUGGAGUCGAGGCAUAGUCAACAGUAUGGCUUCCGCGAUUGCCUUGAAUUAGGUUUUCCUCAUUUACCUUUCUAUUAGAAUUGCUCUGAUUACCUGCGGAAUUAAGGUUAUUAAGUCGAGAUUUGUGUGUUGUGAUUUUGGUUGAUGUUGUUUGGGGGAGCAGGGUGGCUCCAGGAGAAUAAGGAUGGGUGAUUUAGAAGUGUAAAUUCUCUUUCUACAGGUUUUGGGUUGUCCACUUUAGGGGAAGUUCUGCCUAAUUUUUGGCAAAAUUUCUUCUAAGGUGGGCCCCGCAGGUCCACUUCGGAUUUCAGGGUGAAAUUCGGGGCGGGUCCUGUCAGUUGGUAUCAGAGCAUUAGGUUGUCAGAUUCUGUUUGGCAAAAUUUCUUCUAAGGUGGGCCCCGCAGGUCCACUUCGGAUUUCAGGGUGAAAUUCGGGGCGGGUCCUGUCAGUGGCUCACCGCCUAGCAGCUUUAGGUUUUAAGGCUACUAUAGGAGAAGUUUGGUUCGAUUAUGCCCCUCCUUGUAUUAUCGAUGUACUACAGCACGAUUGUGCCCAACUCCUUUGAGUUGUUUUCAAUAACAGUCCUUUCUUGAUUCAAAAAAAAAAAAAAAAAUUAAGCGCGUUGCAUUCAUUUCUGGGGUGUUAAGGGAGUAAUCUUUCUCCGUACUCAAAUAAAGAAAUCCAUCAUGUACAAUGAAAUAGAAGGAUAAUAUUUGCUUGUGUCUUUUGAUAAAAUACAAAUCUUUUCUUGUAUUUUAUAUAGACCUAUUAUAUUAAGAUUCCUUAAUUAUGUCUUGAACUUUAUAUCAUAAU